rfam:Serratia marcescens subsp. marcescens Db11, complete genome
GGGUGCUCUGGAUCUUUGUAUCUAGAGCCUGCGUGAAAGGUACAAAGAGAAAAGCCCCGAGUCGAUAUCCAUCAACCCGAGGCCUACUCUAACGCCAGCAACGUUAAGUUAGCCUCUUACCCGCCGCGAGGCAAGGAGAAGAAGGCAUGAUG